GAUGAACGCUAGCGGCAGGCUUAAUACAUGCAAGUCGUGGGGCAGCAUGAGUAGCAAUACUUGAUGGCGACCGGCAAACGGGUGAGGAACACGUACACAACCUUCCUUCAAGCGGGGAAUAGCCCAGAGAAAUUUGGAUUAAUACCCCAUAAUAUAUUUGAUAAGGCAUCUUAUUAAUAUUAAAGCUUCGGCACUUGAUGAUGGGUGUGCGGCUGAUUAGAUAGUUGGCGGGGUAACGGCCCACCAAGUCUACGAUCAGUAGCUGAUGUGAGAGCAUGAUCAGCCACACGGGCACUGAGACACGGGCCCGACUCCUACGGGAGGCAGCAGUAAGGAUAUUGGACAAUGGACGAAAGUCUGAUCCAGCCAUGCCGCGUGAAGAUUAAGGUCCUCUGGAUUGUAAAC
rnacentral:rRNA from 1 species